CCUGGCCCUGGCCGGCGGCGGCGCCGCGGGCACUCGCUGCGCUGGAAUGGCGGGACCUCGGCGGCUGCCUCUGCUGAUCAUGGCCCUGACCCUGCUCCCGAAACUCUCUGGGAAUGAAUAUUCUUCAGGCACUACAGUUGUUUCUUCAUCACAGUCGGUAACCGAGAGCUCAUCUGCCGCCCCUACGACCUCUUCUCCCUCCGACCCCAGCUCCUCCAAUACUGGGGACACCUCCACCCCCCAGCGCAGCACCCCAAGUCCCGGGGAAAUCACCACAGCCCAGCUCAGCGCCACCCCAACAGAUUCUGGGACGGCCUCCCCCUCCCUGCACCCCACGACAGACACGCACUCGGGCUCUGGGUCUCCCAGCCCAGAGCUCACUGCCGUGUCCGAGGCUGCGUCGCUGACUUCUUCCCCUCUGCGCCCCCAGGGUAAGCGGAAGGAAGAGCUUGGGGCUUGGGAGGCCGCGGCGGUAUCUGCCUGCAGUUCUGACCUUGACCACCAGGCGGCGGCGCAGGCCCGGGAGCGCUGGCAGGGCCCGCCCCAUCCAAGGAUGUGUAUUUUUAUUUUUAUUUAUUUAUUUUGUGUUUUUUUGAGACAGUGUCUCUAUAUAGUUCCGGCGGCCCUCGAACUUGCACCAGUCCUCCUGCCUCUGCCUCCCAAGUGCUGGGUUUACAGGCGUGCACCACCAUGCCGGGCUGGGUCCACAGAUAUUUAUAAGUGCCUAACGUAUGUCAGGACCAGCGGGGCUAUGGGCAGGGCAGGCGAUAAUACCCACGUGCAAGAGAGGUUAUAAGUUACGUAUCUGGAGCCAGGCACGGUGGUGCACACCUGUAAUUCCAGAACUUGGGAGGCUGAGGCAGGAGGAUUGCUUUGGGUCUUGCUGGGAGUCUGUGUCUCGGGGCUGACUUCGGGCUUCUUCCACACCCCCAGGGCACACCCUGACCCCCGCAUCACGCCGCAACCCGGGUGUGGUGGUGGCUGUGUGUCUGGUGGUGUCCCUGGUGCUCAUCGGGUCCGUGGUGCUGGCUGUGAGACGCUGCCACCGGGACACAUCUGAAUUCCUCGUGCUGGACGAGGUGUCCAUGGUGAGCUAGGGCUGGCCGGACAGGGGACGCCGCCUUUCCACUCAGCCUGAGUGGCCCCUAUGCCCCCUCUCCAGGCCAGCGUGAGCCAACAGGAGUCCACUACCCCUGAGUGACCGCAGCGGGCCGGAGAGAGAACUUGGACAGCUGGGUGCCCGGGAGGCUGCAGCUGCCACUGCUCCGGCACAGUGGGGACGGCAGGCACCUGCAGUCCCAGCUGCUGUGCUUGGGAGGCUGAGCCAGGAGGACUGUUUGAGCCUAGGAGUUUGAGUCCAGCCUGGCCAACAAAGCAAGAGUCUAUCCAACAAUAAGAGAAUCAAUGAACAAAUAAAUAAAAUCCCAGAUGUUCACCUGAGGCAGCCUAUGUCAUGGAUUCACGCAAGGAGCAGUAACUGACCACCUACUAUAUGCCCAUUCUCUGUCACCAGCACAGUGGGGACUGCGUCUGUGUCCUUGUGGACAGCACAGUCAGGGGAGAGACAAGAUCCAGGGCUGCAGGGAGAGCUUCAGAUGCACUAGGGUCACGAGGCAGAGGUGAGGUUCCCCCAGCACCCCCACGUGUGUCCAAGUUUGCGGGGCCGCCGAGGAGGUCCCCAGGAGGCAACACUCAUGCAGGGACCUGAGAAGUGGGAGGGGACUGACAGGUGUUCCUGGAAGAGGAUGUGGUGUGUGCAAAGGUCCUGGGGUGGGAGCCAUGGUGGUGAUAGAGCAGCGCUGAGCAGAUGAAAGGGCUUUGGCAGUGGGAGUGCAGGUUUGAUCCCAAGGCCCGGACUCUGCGAGGGAGUUGCCUGCUGCCACUAUCUAUCGCAACUGGAGACUUUGGCAAGAUGGAUCUGGUCCAAGGAGCAGGAAGCCGUGGUUCCGGGGUGGAGGCAGAGCCCGUGUAAAGGUCAGGAGGCCGAGGAGCUGUCCCCUGCCGUCCGGGAUGGAGGGGACCCCUGCUGCCCAGGAGGGAGGUGGGGCUGGGUGAGGGACACGGAGGGGGCUUGGCUGUCACCUUGCACCCUGGAGCUGCCCACCCCUCUGCCCUCCCUGCCUCAGGCUCCAAGGAGCCGGGUCUCGCUCUGAUGAUCUCUUGGGGGCGGUGGCACUGUGGGUCAAACAUUAACCCAGCAGCUCGGCCACACCGGCCGGGCCCUUCUGCCCUGGCACCCGCGCCCCUGCCCAGCCUGGCCAGCUGUCCUG
rnacentral:lncRNA from 1 species